rnacentral:rRNA from 1 species
CGCGGCCUAUCAGCUUGUUGGUGGGGUAAUGGCCUACCAAGGCGACGACGGGUAGCCGGCCUGAGAGGGCGACCGGCCACACUGGGACUGAGACACGGCCCAGACUCCUACGGGAGGCAGCAGUGGGGAAUAUUGCGCAAUGGGCGAAAGCCUGACGCAGCGACGCCGCGUGAGGGAUGAAGGCCUUCGGGUUGUAAACCUCUUUCAGCAGGGACGAAGCGUAAGUGACGGUACCUGCAGAAGAAGCGCCGGCUAACUACGUGCCAGCAGCCGCGGUAAUACGUAGGGCGCAAGCGUUGUCCGGAAUUAUUGGGCGUAAAGAGCUCGUAGGCGGUUUGUCGCGUCUGUCGUGAAAGCCCACAGCUUAACUGUGGGUCUGCGGUGGAUACGGGCAGACUAGAGGCAGGUAGGGGAGAACGGAAUUCCCGGUGUAGCGGUGAAAUGCGCAGAUAUCGGGAGGAACACCGGUGGCGAAGGCGGUUCUCUGGGCCUGUACUGACGCUGAGGAGCGAAAGCGUGGGGAGCGAACAGGAUUAGAUACCCUGGUAGUCCACGCCGUAAACGUUGGGCGCUAGGUGUGGGGUCCUUCCACGGAUUCCGCGCCGCAGCUAACGCAUUAAGCGCCCCGC